rnacentral:tRNA from 1 species
CGGACUAAAAUCCGUUGGCUUUUUAGACCGUGAGGGUUCAAGUCCCUCUACCCCCA